CUCUCUCUCUCUCUCUCUUCUAUAAUAGGAGGUGUGGCCCUCGGCAUCGCUGCUUUAGAGAUUGCUGGGAUGGUUGUGUCUAUGGUCCUAUACAAUGACAUUGGGAAGUAAUGACCAAAGCUGAAGCUAUAGCACUGAUGUAUGCACUUCUUCUUAGUAACUUCACCGCAGACUGAUUGCUGUCUUACAGCUGCUUAUUGACACAAAUUCUCAUUGGCCAACUCUUCUGAAAAGUUACCAAAGAUUAAGUGUUUUAAGGAUUUUUUUAGUAGGAAAACACAAAAGGAAAUUGAAUUGAUUAUAAUUCCUGUGAAUAUUGCAAGAUAUCUGAUAACAUACUGUAGGUUAACUUCACCUGAGCUUGCUAAUAAGACGAAGGACGAAUAAGCAUUAAAAGAAAUGGUUAAUAAGAACUUUUUUUUAAAGUCUGUUGUUGCCUAUUACCUUUAUUUAUUUGUAUGUUUAUAAGAUUUAUGUUGGAUGAAGUAUUAAUCAGAGCAUUGUCUCCCACACUUUUACACAAUACACACUCGUACUUUAAGUUAGACUCCAGUCUAGUAAAGAUUUGAAUAUUUGCCUUUUGUUUACUCAGGCAAUAAAACAAAGAUUGUGUUUUACAACACUGCUCAUGAUGCAUAUGUAAAAUUAAUGCUGUCUUGUAAAACCUGUAAGGUUUCCUCUACAGUUUCAGAUUGUCCUGUUCUAUUGGCUGCAUUUUGCUCCUGUUUUAAUUGAAAUGUUUCUGCCAACAGAACACGACAAACACAAUGAUAUCGUAAUAAAAAUAUUAUAUUUUCA